rnacentral:ncRNA from 1 species
UAUCUUCAGGGCAGGGUGUAAUUCCCGACCGGCGGUAUAGUCCGCGACCUUUGCUGCUAACAGUAAGGCUGAACCGGUUUGAUUCCGGUACCGACAGUAUAGUCUGGAUGAAAGAAGAUA